rnacentral:rRNA from 1 species
UGAGGAAUAUUGGUCAAUGGGCGAGAGCCUGAACCAGCCAAGUAGCGUGCAGGACGACGGCCCUAUGGGUUGUAAACUGCUUUUAUGUGGGGAUAAAGUGCGUGACGUGUCAUGCAUUGCAGGUACCACAUGAAUAAGGACCGGCUAAUUCCGUGCCAGCAGCCGCGGUAAUACGGAAGGUCCGGGCGUUAUCCGGAUUUAUUGGGUUUAAAGGGAGCGUAGGCUGUCUAUUAAGCGUGUUGUGAAAUUUACCGGCUCAACCGGUGGCUUGCAGCGCGAACUGGUCGACUUGAGUAUGCAGGAAGUAGGCGGAAUUCAUGGUGUAGCGGUGAAAUGCUUAGAUAUCAUGACGAACUCCGAUUGCGCAGGCAGCUUACUGUAGCAUAACUGACGCUGAGGCUCGAAAGUGCGGGUAUCAAACAGG